rnacentral:misc_RNA from 1 species
UUGAUAAUAUAGUUUAUACUAUCAUUAAUUAUGUGCACUGUUACCGCCAAUUGGCGGCCGUAAGGUCGUCAAUUGGCCCCAAUUAAAAUAUUUAUUAAUAACUUUUUAUACCAGUAAUCAUAUAAACUUAUGA